AUUAUCAUAUAAUGAGUCAUUGUUAUUAAUCACUGAAUGUGGAAAAAAAAUAUGUGUAAAUUUUAUUUUAUAAUUGAUAAAUAAGGAAAAUUUUAUUUUAAAACCACUCGAGUUUAAAUAUAUACAUAAGGAAAACUUUUCAAAGUAUUACCAAUAAUCAUUUAUAAAUAAAACGCCAGUUAAAAUCUUAUAUAUAAAUACAGAGUUUCGAUAUAUUUAUCAUCAGUCGUAAAUUAAAGUCAACUGCAAUAAAGUAUAUUUUUUAAUUUCAUAGUAUAAUGAAGCACCAAGUGGCAUUGAUUUUUUUUAUAUCAGUUACAUUUUUUUUAUUGUCUGAGGCGCAAAAUGACUGUAGGAAAAACCACAAAGCUUGCUCAGAGAGUGUGCGAUGUUGUUCAAAGUAUUGUCGAGAUCAAAGAUGUAUUGAAUUCGGUGAUGAUCCAAGUGAUGUUAACAGAACAAACCCUUGUUUUUAUACACGAUGUUCAAGUGAUGAGGUAUGUGUCGUAAAACAAUACGAGUGCACAGAAUCACCUUGUCCAGGAAGAGCUGCAUGUGUAUCUUCUACUCCGAUAUCCAUGGAAAAUUAAUAAAUUAUAAACUUGCUGAAUUUCGCUCAAAAUGUGGUCAAAACAAUAAAAUAAUAUAUUUCAUUAAUGAAAAAUUUCAUGGUUGAAGAAAAUAGCUUCUCUUUGAUUUAAAAAAAAAUUUGCUUAUUUUAAAAAAAUUUGGAAUAAAUUUUAUUUAAAAAAUUAUUAUAUUUCACUCUUAUAUUAUCAUUAAUCCACUUAUUUUUUAUUGUACUAACAAGCUAUAUAUGUAAAACGGCUUUUCGACAAAUGCUCAAGUUUAAUCUCGGAAAAACCUGAAGAAAUUGCUGAUAUUCAAACUAGUAUAUUAAUCAGAAUAAAUACUUGACAGUAAAUUCGAAAUUAUUCAGAAACUAAUACUUUUUAUUAACUUUUUUUAUAUAAAAUAUAUAUAUACACAUGUUGAGUAAUGAUCCUUUUUUCCUAUUAACAAUUUGUAUCGAGAAUAUAAAAAAUCCAGUUAAAUUUUUGUUGUUAAUCAAAACCAAAAAUUAAUCUUGAAUUAAUUUGAGAUUGAUAGAUCUUACACUGUUUGAUUAACGAAAAAUGUAAAUUAAUGUUUAAAAAUUAAUAAUGUUUAAAAAUUGUAAAAAUCAUUUUUUUUUAAUAUAAAAUUUUUUAAUAAUGCCGUUAUAUCAAACACAAUUUAAAUGAUUUAUAUUUUAUUUAUUUUAUCGUAGAUUAUAAUUACAUUUAUUAUGAAUUUCCGAUUCUUCAAAUUACGUUUUUAAUAAAAAAAAUAAAUUAUGUUUUCUUCAUAACAUCAUAUUUUUAUCAAUUCUAUGUAUAAAUUAACAGCUAAGCAAGAUGAAUAUAAAAAUAAAA